rnacentral:sRNA from 1 species
UUUCGCCUGUAGUUUAAGAGGAUGAGGACCUCCGAAGGAGGUUUGAGCCGAGCGAAGCGAGACCACGUUGCGCUAGCAACGGCCCGUAGGGCGAGCAUCGAAGAUGCAAGUAAUCCUCUCUCGCCGACCA